rnacentral:rRNA from 1 species
GACGAACGCUGGCGGCGUGCUUAACACAUGCAAGUCGAACGGAAAGGCCCUGCUUUUGUGGGGUGCUCGAGUGGCGAACGGGUGAGUAACACGUGAGUAACCUGCCCUUGACUUUGGGAUAACUUCAGGAAACUGGGGCUAAUAUCGGAUAGGAGCUCCUGCUGCAUGGUGGGGGUUGGAAAGUUUCGGCGGUUGGGGAUGGACUCGCGGCUUAUCAGCUUGUUGGUGGGGUAGUGGCUUACCAAGGCUUUGACGGGUAGCCGGCCUGAGAGGGUGACCGGCCACAUUGGGACUGAGAUACGGCCCAGACUCCUACGUGAGGCAGCAGUGGGGAAUAUUGCACAAUGGGCGGAAGCCUGAUGCAGCAACGCCGCGUGCGGGAUGACGGCCUUCGGGUUGUAAACCGCUUUCGCCUGUGACGAAGCGUGAGUGACGGUAAUGGGUAAAGAAGCACCGGCUAACUACGUG